UACGUAGGGUGCAAGCGUUAAUCGGAAUUACUGGGCGUAAAGCGUGCGCAGGCGGUGAUGUAAGACCGAUGUGAAAUCCCCGGGCUUAACCUGGGAACUGCAUUGGUGACUGCAUCGCUAGAGUAUGGCAGAGGGGGGUGGAAUUCCACGUGUAGCAGUGAAAUGCGUAGAGAUGUGGAGGAACACCGAUGGCGAAGGCAGCCCCCCUGGGCCAAUACUGACGCUCAUGCACGAAAGCGUGGGGAGCAAACAGG
rnacentral:rRNA from 1 species